rnacentral:rRNA from 1 species
UAAGGUCCCUAAAUAUAAGCUAAGUGUAACGAAAGUUGUCUGCAACCGAAGACAGCGGGGAGGUAGGCUCAGA